rnacentral:lncRNA from 1 species
GUCGUGCGCCGACACCACUUCGUGUUCGUGGCUGUAGACUCUCUGCGCCGGCCUGUGCCUGUUUCCACGGCCACCGGUCACCCUCUUCCCGAGGAGCUAGCUAGCUAGGGCUGUCCUGAUCCAUUUGCAGCUCGCAGCCGCCUUGGCUCAAACCACUGCACCAUGCCAUGCCAGGUCCAGUUCACCUGCAAUCACACUCUCUAUCAGAGCUUCACAUCGAGAUCGAUCCGUGCGUAGAAAUUCAGCUCUGCUUACCGCCGUCCACUUGCGUGAAUUGCUUGCUCGUAGGCGCGCGGAAGUCCGGAGAGUACGUCCGGAUAAUAAUCUUUCCUCUCGCUGUAAAGCUAGUUUGUACAGAGUGUGGACGGCGGUUAGUCCAGAUCGAAACGAAAGUUAAGCAAAAUGGGAUUGCAUUUUUCUAGUAAAGUUUACUAAAAAAAGUAUAUUAAUCUGUAUUCUUUUAAUAAAAUUUUAGUACAGAAAAGAUUAAAUUAUUUGAUUUUUUUUUUAAAAAAAAACAAAAUAAAAACUGUAUUGUUUUAUGGACGUAGGAGGAGCUAGCACCUAGCAGCAGCCAAGUCGUUCACGUAGUUUAAAAAAAACAAAAGAAAAGUCUUUGACGUACGUUGUUUGAGAAUCUCAGUCAGAUGUGGCACAGUAGUGCCAUUUCAGAUCCCCUGUGGAUGCUUUUGCGAGCUUUCCCUGUCACACCAUUUCCAUUUGGUUGCAUCCCGUGACGCUGCCACCUUUGAAUAUAAUUGGAACGACAAUAACGUAUACUCCCAUGUGUUUGGUCGUUCAGCUCUCCCGUCAACCAGUACUAAUUAUUAUGCAAAGGGCACCCUAAAGCUCAUGUGUAACUGAUUUUCCCCUUCGUUUUUACGCUUCAAGACUGGGACUACACUUUUUAAGUACGAAACCGACAGCUGGAUAAUAACGUGGAGACCUGUGGUGGUGAUCAUCAGCUGAUGGGCACGCACAACGUAGCGAUGGCCGAUCCAGCGACAACCGGCGGCUGCUUCGUCCGGCAUUGACGUGACUUCUCCCGGCCGGCCCGUACGCGCAGAAGCAGAAGCAGAAGCAGAAGCGUCGUGUGUGCGUCCCACACCGCUUGUAAGUGCUGGCUUCUGCUCUUAAUUGCAUCCGUGCUUCAUCACUUAUCUGGCUAUCAGGCUGCAGCCACUGUUAUCGCAUCAUAUCGAAAGCAAAUCAACCAGUGCUGAGGCCCUUGGUGAAGGCUUCUCCUCACUGUCCUGUCAUGUGGCUGCCAUCAGAUAGCCAGUUACCCGUUUGCCCAGAAUAGACAUGGACAUCUGAACUCCAUUCGGCUGUGUCAGAUCAACCCCGGCCAAGAGCCUUCUAAACGAACUCCCUACUUUAGCUUCGUCUCCACCUUAUGCUUCUUGGUGAUCGAGCACCAUUGGAGAGAUUCGUCUCUCUCCUGAAAGUAUUGACAUGUUUCUAACUCUUCUUUAUUUUAAAUAUUUACAUUUGAGAAAUUCAAUUCCUGUUUUUAUAUUACUAAAACUUUUGUCUUAGAAUAGUGUUGAAACUUAAGGUGCAAAAUUUUUAAUACUAUGAACAGAUAACACUCUUAGCUAAAAGGAGUGAAGUAAAACUAUUCAGUAGGAUUUAUGUUUUGCGAGAAAUCUUAUAUUAGCCUAAUUCACCCUCCUUCUGGGUAUCUUGAUUCUUUCAACAUAGUGUAUCACUUUUAGUUAGGAUGUUCCUUUAGUUUCUUAUUAUACUUAUUCGAUAUUUGUUUAUUUUAUGCACAUAUUCGAUGUAUGUGCAACCCCUUUUCUACAAAACAUAUCUUCAGGCCGUCCCCCUGAGAGCACCUAGAGGGGGUGAAUAGGUGAUCCUGUAAAACUUAAAACUUAACACCACAAACUUGAUUAAGAGUUAGUAUAAUGAAAUCAAGUGAGUAGAGAGGAGAGCUCUUGUGAAGCAUAAUAGACACAAUAAGGACAAGCACAAGAGACACGAGGAUGUUAUCCCGUGGUUCGGCCAAGUACAAAACUUGCCUACUCCACGUUGUGGCGUCCCAAUGGACGAGAGUUGCACUCAACUCCUCUCAAGUGAUCCAAUGAUCAACUUGAAUACCACGGUGUUCUUUUUACUUUGCUCUUUUCUCGUUUGCGAGGAAUCUCCACAACUUGGAGUCUCUCGCCCUUACAAUAAGAAUCAAUAUGAAGCACAAGAGUAAGGGAGGGAAGCAACACACUCAAAACCACAGCAAAUACGCACACACACGAUCAAAACUUGAGCUCAAAACAAUAUCUCAAGGUUCUCACUAGAACAGAGCUCAAAUCACUAAGAAUGUCGAAUUAGUGCGCAAGAGUGAAGUGUGAAUGAUCAACAAUGCUCAAAGGUUGCUUGGUGCUUUCUUCCAUGCGCCUAGGGGUCCCUUUUAUAGCCCCAAGGCAGCUAGGAGCCGUUGAGAGCAUUCCAGGAAGGCAAUUCUUGCCUUCUGUCGCCUGGCGCACCAGACAGUCCGGUGCAGAUUUCUUUCCUUCUUUGGCGAAGCCGACCGUUGGCACUUUGGAGCCGUUGGCGCACCGGACACUGUCCGGUGCACACCGGACAGUCCGGUGCCCCCUUCUGACCGUUGGCUCGGCCACGUGUCUCGCGCGAAUCGCGCGGCCGACCGUUGGCUCACCGGACAGUCCGGUGCACACCGGACAAUCCGGUGAAUUUUAGUCGUACGCCGUUAAUUACUUCCCGAGAGCAGCAAGUUCGCCUGAGCCAGCCUGGCGCACCGGACACUGUCCGGUGCGCCACCGGACAGUCCGGUGCACCCAGACAGAGCUGACUUUGGCUGAAUAAAGCCAUCUCUUUUUCAAUUUGAUUUCUCCUGUUUCCAGCACUUAGACACAAUACAUCAGUCCAUAAAACAAUGUACUAAGUCUAGAAACAUACCUUUUGACUUGAUUUGCACUUUGUCCACCACUUUGCAUAGAUCAACACUUAGGCACUUGUGUUGGACACUAAAUCACCAAAAUACUUAGAAAUGGCCCAAAGACAUAUUUCCCUUUCAAUCUCCCCCUUUUUGGUGAUUUAUGCCAACACAACAUAAAGCAAGUAGAACAAGUGCAGAAUCACUUCAAAUAAGAACUCAAAAUUGUUUUGAUUCAAAUUUGACAUAUAUGGAUCAUUCUUUGGCACCACUUGGUUUGUUUUUGCAAAUCAAACUCAAUUUCCUAUAUCUAAGUCAAACACACAUGUUGAAACAUAAAGAGAGAUUUUUUCACAAGAAAUUGAUCAAGGAUUCAAAAACUCCCCCUUUUCCCAUAAUUAAGCCUUCUCCCCACAAGAGACCAACUUUUGACAAUAAGAGGCAAACACGAGUAUUUUGACAAACAAAAACUAUAACUCUACUAUUUUCAAAAUUCACAAGUGGUAGCUGAUCCAUUUCUUGCUUUGGUCGUAUUUUCUCCCCCUUUGGCAUCAAGCACCAAAACGGGAUCAACGUUGGCUCUUUAACCCCAUUGCCUCACCAAAAUCUUCAACUAAGAGUAAAAAGGCAAUAAGAGUACAAAGAUGAACUUGGUAAAAAGUUACUCUUUCAUCGGAGUGCAGUGGAAGUCUUGCAUGGUCCAAGUCCACCUUUUUCCUUUCAAACCUCCUUUGAGACUAAAUUAAGCAAACUCAAGCACACAGUUAGUCUCAAAGGGUCAAGUUGUAGCACAUCUCCCCCUAAAUUUGUGCAUCACUUGCAAAGGACUUGUGAGGUCCGGGGAGUGUUUGUACAACUUGAGCACCAUAAAUAAUCAACAAAGUAUAUUCAGGAACAUGAUCAAGGCAUAAAACACAUGUAUGCUAUAAAUCAAUCCAAGUUUCGCGAAUCUAAGACAUUUAGCUCACUAAAGGUCUGCUCAUCUAAAGGCUUGGUAAAGAUAUCGGCUAGCUGGUUCUCGGAGCUAACAUGAAACACUUCGAUAUCUCCCUUUUGCUCGUGGUCUCUCAAAAAGUGAUGCCGGAUGUCUAUGUGCUUUGUGCGGCUGUGUUCAACAGGAUUAUCCGCCAUGCGGAUGGCACUCUCAUUAUCACAUAGGAGUGGGACUUUGCUCAGAUUGUAGCCAAAGUCCCUGAGGGUUUGCCUCAUCCAAAGUAGUUGCGCGCAACACUGUCCUACAGCAACAUACUCGGCCUCAGCGGUGGAUAGGGCAACAGAGGUUUGUUUCUUAGAGCUCCACGACACCAGGGACCUUCCUAAGAAUUGGCACGUUCCCGAUGUACUCUUCCUAUCGACCUUACAUCCAGCAUAGUCGGAGUCUGAAUAUCCAAUCAAGUCAAAGGUAGACCACUUUGGAUACUAGAUCCCGAAACAAGGCGUAGCGACUAAAUAUCUAAGAAUUCGCUUCACCGCCACUAAGUGACAUUCCCUUGGAUCGGAUUGAAAUCUAGCACACAUGCAUACACUAAGCAUAAUAUCCGGUCUACUAGCACAUAAAUAAAGUAAAGACCCUAUCAUAGACCGGUAUGCCUUUUGAUCAACGGACUUACCUCCUUUGUUGAGGUCGGUGUGUCCGUCGGUUCCCAUUGGAGUCUUUGCGGGCUUGGCAUCCUUCAUCCCAAACCGCUUGAUCAAGUCUUGCGUGUACUUUGUUUGGGAUAUGAAGGUCCCAUCCUUGAGUUGCCUCACUUGGAACCCAAGGAAAUAGCUUAACUCGCCCAUCAUCGACAUCUCGAACUUUUGAGUCAUCACCCUGCUAAACUCUUCACAAGACUUUUGGUUAGUAAAACCAAAUAUUAUGUCAUCGACAUAAAUUUGGCACACAAAAAGAUCACCAUCACAAGUCUUAGUGAAAAGAGUUGGAUCGGCUUUCCCAACCUUGAAAGCAUUAGCAAUUAAAAAGUUUCUAAGGCAUUCAUACCAUGCUCUUGGGGCUUGCUUAAGUCCAUAGAGCGCCUUAGAGAGCUUACACACGUGGUCGGGGUACCGUUCAUCCUCGAAGCCAGGGGGUUGCUCCACGUACACCUCCUCCUUGAUUGGCCCGUUGAGGAAAGCACUCUUCACAUCCAUUUGGAACAACCUGAAAGAAUGGUGAGCGGCAUAUGCUAGCAAAAUACGAAUGGACUCUAGCCUAGCCACAGGAGCAAAAGUCUCCUCAAAGUCCAAACCUGCGACUUGGGCAUAACCUUUUGCCACAAGUCGUGCCUUGUUUCUUGUCACCACCCCGUGCUCGUCUUGUUUGUUGCGGAACACCCACUUGGUUCCCACAACAUUUUGCUUGGGACGAGGCACCAGUGUCCAAACUUCAUUUCUCUUGAAGUUAUUGAGCUCCUCUUGCAUGGCCAACACCCAGUCUGGAUCUAGCAAGGCCUCCUCUACCCUGAAGGGCUCAAUAGAAGAGACAAAGGAGUAAUGCUCACAAAAAUUAACUAAUCGAGAUCGAGUAGUUACUCCCUUGCUAAUGUCACCCAAAAUCUGGUCGACGGGAUGAUCCCUUUGAAUCAUUGCUCGAACUUGGUUUGGAGGUGCCGGUUGCGCUUCUUCCUCCAUUACAUGAUCAUCUUGUGCUCCCCCUUGAUCACACGCCUCCUCUUGAUGAACCUGUUCAUCAUCUUGAGUUGGGGGAUGUACCAUUGUUGAGGAAGAAGGUUGAUCUUGCUCCUUUUGUUCCUGUGGCCGCACAUCUCCAAUCACCAUGGUGCGUAUUGCGGCGGUUGGAACAUCUUCUUCAUCUACAUCAUCAAAAUCAACAACUUGCUCUCUUGGAGAGCCAUUAGUCUCAUCAAAUACAACGUCGCUAGAGACUUCAACCAAACCCGAUGAUUUGUUGAAGACUCUAUACGCCUUUGUAUUUGAGUCAUAACCUAACAAAAACCCUUCUACCGCUUUGGGAGCAAAUUUGGUAUUCCUACCCUUCUUCACUAGGAUGUAGCAUUUACUCCCAAAAACUCGGAAAUACGAAACAUUGGGUUUGUUACCGGUUAGUAGCUCAUACAAAGUCUUCUUGAGGAGGCGAUGAAGGUAGACCCGGUUGAUGGCGUGGUAAGCCGUGUUCACGGCUUCCGACCAAAAGCGCUUGGGGGUCUUGAACUCUCCAAGCAUCGUCCUCGCCAUGUCUAUAAGUGUCCUGUUCUUCCUCUCUACCACACCAUUUUGCUGUGGUGUGUAGGGAGCGAAGAACUCGUGCUUGAUCCCUUCCUCCUCAAGGUACUCCUCCACUUGAAGGUUUUUGAACUCGGACCCAUUAUCGCUUCUUAUCUUAUUCACCUUGAGCUCAAACUCGUUUUGAGCUCUCCUUAGGAAGCGCUUGAGGGUCCCUUGGGUUUCAGAUUUAUCCUGCAAAAACAACACCCAAGUGAAGCGGGAAAAUCAUCAACUAUAACAAGACCAUACUUACUUCCUCUUAUGCUUAGAUAGGCAACGGGUCCGAAGAGGUCCAUAUGAAGUAACUCCAGGGGUCUUGAUGUUGUCAUCACAUUUUUGGCAUGAUGAGAGCUUCCCACCUGUUUUCCUGCUUGACAAGCUGCACAAGGUCUAUCUUUUUCGAAAGUAACAUUAGUUAGACCUAUCACGUGUUCUCCCUUUAGAAGCUUGUGAAGGUUUUUCAUCCCCACAUGUGCUAAGCGGCGAUGCCACAGCCAGCCCAUGCUAGUCUUAGCAAUUAAGCAUGCAUCUAGACCGGCCUCCUCUUUUGCAAAAUCAACUAAAUAAAGUUUGCCGUCUAAUACACCCUUAAAAGCUAAUGAACCAUCACUUCUUAUAAAGACAGACACAUCUACAUUUGUGAAUAAACAGUUAUAUCCCAUAUUACAAAGUUGACUCACAGACAACAAGUUAUAUCCAAGCGACUCAACUAAGAACACAUUAGAAAUAGAGUGCUCGGAUGAAAUAGCAAUUUUUCCUAACCCUUUCACCUUGCCUUGGUUCCCAUCACCGAAUAUGAUUGAAUCUUGGGGAUCCUUGUUCUUGACGUAGGAAGAGAACAUCCUCUUCUCUCCCGUCAUGUGGUUUGUGCAUCCGCUGUCGAUAAUCCAGCUUGAGCCCCCGGAUGCAUAAACCUGCAAGGCAAUUUUAGGCUUGGGUCUUAGGUACCCAACUCAUGUUGGGUCCUGUAAGGUUAGUCACAAUAGUCUUAGGGACCCAAAUGCAAGUCUUGUCUCCCUUACAUUUUGCCCCUAAUUUUCUAGCAACUAUCUUCCUAUCCUUUCUACAAAUUGCAAAUGAAGCAUUGCAGGCAUGAUAGAUUGUAGAGGGUUCAUUCAUUACUUUCCUAGGAGCAUGAACAAUAUUUCUUCUAGGCAUAGCAUUUUUCUUAGCAACAUUUCUAUCAUACAUAAUAGAAGAGCUAGAAGCAACCAUGGCAUGAGAAUCAAAAGCAUCAUAACUUCUAAAAGCAUUCCUAGAAUGUCUUCUAUCAUGAUACAUGAAAGCAUGGUUUUUAUGAGCACUACUAUCCAUAGGGGCCUUCCCUUUCUCCUUGGUGGAGAUGGGAGCCUUAUGACUUGUUAAGUUCUUGACUUCCCUCUUGAAGCCAAGACCAUCCUUAAUUGAGGGGUGUCUACCAAUUGUGUAGGCAUCCCUUGCAAAUUUCAGUUUUUCAAAUUCACUCUUGCUAGUCUUAAGUUGGGCAUUAAGACUAGCCACUUCAUCAUUAAAUUUAGAAAUUGAAACUAGGUGUUCACUACAAGCAUCAAUAUUAAAAUCUUUACACCUAGUGCAAACUACAACAUGUUCUACACAAGAUGUUGAUUUAUUAGCUAUUUCUAACUUAGCACUCAAGUCAUCGUUUAUGCUCUUUAAACUAGAAAUAGAGUCAUGGCACGUAGACAAUUCACAAGAAAGCAUUUCAUUCCUCUUUAUUUCUAAAGCAAGAGAUUUUUGAGCUUCUACAAACUUAUCAUGUUCAUCGUAUAAGAGAUCCUCUUGCUUUUCUAGCAAUCUAUUCUUAUCAUUUAAAGCAUCAAUUAAUUCAUUUAUUUUAUCAAUCUUAGUUCUAUCUAGGCCCUUGAAUAAACUAGCAUAGUCUAUUUCAUCAUCAUCACUAGACUCAUCCUCACUAGAAGAAGCAUAAGUGGAUUUUCGAGAGUUUACUUUCUUCUCCUUUGCCAUGAGGCAGGUGUGAUAUUCAUUGGGGAAGAGGGACGCUUUGUUGAAGGCGGUGGCGGCGAGUCCUUCGUUGUCGGAGUCAGACGACGAACAGUUCGAGUCCCACUCCUUUCCAAGGUGUGCCUCGCCCUUAGCCUUUUUGUAUGCCUUCUUCUUUUCCCUCUUGUUUCCUUGUUCCUGGUCACUAUCAUUAUCGGGACAGUUAGUGAUAAAAUGACCGAUCUUACCACAUUUGAAGCAUGAGCGCUUCCCAUUCGUCUUGGUCUUGUUUGGAUGCUCCUUGCGACCCCUUAGCGCCGUCUUGAAGCGCUUGAUGAUGAGGACCAUUUCUUCAUCAUUAAGUCUGGCCGCCUCAAUUUGUGCCACCUUGCUAGGUAGCGCCUCCUUGCUCCUCGUAGCUUUGAGAGCAAUGGUUUGAGGCUCUUGGAUUGGGCCAUUCAACGCAUCAUCAACGUACCUUGCUUCCUUGAUCAUCAUACGCCCGCUUACAAACUUUCCAAGUAUCUCCUCGGGCGUCAUCUUUGUGUACCUAGGAUUCUCACGAAUAUUGUUCACAAGAUGAGGAUCAAGGAUAGUAAAGGACCUUAGCAUUAGGCGGACGACGUCGUGGUUCGUCCAUCGCGUGCUUCCAUAGCUCCUUAUUUUGUUGACGAGGGUCUUUAGCCGGUUGUAUGUUUGAGUUGGCUCCUCGCCCCUGAUCAUCGCGAAUCUACCAAGUUCGCCCUCCACCAACUCCAUCUUGGUGAGCAUGGUAACGUCAUUCCCCUCAUGUGAGAUCUUGAGGGUGUCCCAAAUCUUCUUGGCGUUAUCCAAGCCGCUCACUUUAUGGUAUUCAUCCCUGCACAAUGAUGCUAGAAGAACAGUAGUAGCUUGUGCAUUUUUGUGAAUUUGCUCAUUGAUAAACAUGGGACUAUCACUACUAUCAAAAUGCAUUCCAUUCUCAACUAUCUCCCAUAUGCUUGGAUGGAGAGAGAACAAAUGACUACGCAUUUUGUGACUCCAAAAUCCGUAGUCCUCUCCAUCAAAGUGAGGAGGUUUACCAAGUGGAAUGGAGAGUAAAUGAGCAUUUGUGCUUUGCGGAAUACGAGAAUAAUCAAAAGAAAAGUUUGAAUUGACCGUUUUCUUUUUCUCGUAGUCGUCAUCGUCCUUUUGGGAAGAAGUGGAUUCGUCGCUGUCGUCGUAGUAGAUGAUCUCCUUGAUGCGCCUUGUCUUCUUCUUCUUCCCGUCUCUUCUUUUGUGGCUCGAGCCCGAGUCCGUAGGCUUGUCAUCUUUCGGCUCAUUGAAGAUAAACUCCCUCUCGUUGUUGUUGACCACCAUCCCCUUUCCCUUAGGAUCCAUCUCUUCGGGCGAUUAGUCCCUUCUUGAAGAGAACGGCUCCGAUACCAAUUGAGAGCACCUAGAGGGGGGUGAAUAGGUGAUCCUGUAAAACUUAAAACUUAACACCACAAACUUGAUUAAGAGUUAGUAUAAUGAAAUCAAGUGAGUAGAGAGGAGAGCUCUUGUGAAGCACAAUAGACACAAUAAGGACAAGCACAAGAGACACGAGGAUGUUAUCCCGUGGUUCGGCCAAGUACAAAACUUGCCUACUCCACGUUGUGGCGUCCCAAUGGACGAGAGUUGCACUCAACUCCUCUCAAGUGAUCCAAUGAUCAACUUGAAUACCACUGUGUUUGAUACACCUAGCCCAGGUGGGGUUGGCCGAGGCCCAACAAAUUAGGGUUGCCCGGAGGCCAACAGUUCAUUAAGCACACCCAACUCGGGGAAAGGCCCAAUCGCCCCAAAAGACUAGUCCAAUGGGGAAGGGUGGCUCUUCCUUUUAAAGUGGCUUCCUCCUCCCAAGUUAAGCGAGGUGGGAUAAUUCUAAGGCUCACACGGUCGUCGUCCGACUACAAUUGAGCCAACUGGGCCAAUUUCGUCUUUGCCAACGGGUAAUAGUGGAGGAUGUCCUCAUCAGUGUUCUUUUUACUUUGCUCUUUUCCCGUUUGCGAGGAAUCUCCACAACUUGGAGUCUCUCGCCCUUACAAUAAGAAUCAAUAUGAAGCACAAGAGUAAGGGAGGGAAGCAACACACUCAAAACCACAGCAAAUACGCGCACACACGAUCAAAACUUGAGCUCAAAACAAUAUCUCAAGGUUCUCACUAGAACAGAGCUCAAAUCACUAAGAAUGUCGAAUUAGUGCGCAAGAGUGAAGUGUGAAUGAUCAACAAUGCUCAAAGGUUGCUUGGUGCUUUCUUCCAUGCGCCUAGGGGUCCCUUUUAUAGCCCCAAGGCAGCUAGGAGCCGUUGAGAGCAUUCCAGGAAGGCAAUUCUUGCCUUCUGUCGCCUGGCGCACCGGACAGUCCAGUGCGCCACCGGACACUGUCCGGUGCGGAUUUCUUUCCUUCUUUAGCGAAGCCGACCGUUGGCACUUUGGAGCCGUUGGCGCACCGGACACUGUCCGGUGCACACCGGACAGUCCGGUGCCCCCUUCUGACCGUUGGCUCGGCCACGUGUCUCGCGCGGAUCGCGCGGCCGACCGUUGGCUCACCGGACAGUCCGGUGCAUACCGGACAGUCCGGUGAAUUUUAGCCGUACGCCGUUAAUUACUUCCCGAGAGCAGCAAGUUCGCCUGAGCCAGCCUGGCGCACCGGACACUGUCCGGUGCGCCACCGGACAGUCCGGUGCACCCAGACAGAGCUGACUUUGGCUGAAUAAAGCCAUCUCUUUUUCAAUUUGAUUUCUCCUGUUUCCAGCACUUAGACACAAUACAUCAGUCCAUAAAACAAUGUACUAAGUCUAGAAACAUACCUUUUGACUUGAUUUGCUCUUUGUCCACCACUUUGCAUAGAUCAACACUUAGGCACUUGUGUUGGACACUAAAUCACCAAAAUACUUAGAAAUGGCCCAAAGGCACAUUUCCCUUUCACCCCCCACCAAUUCUACCUCCUCUCUGUCCUUUGUGGUUUGUCCCUCCUCUAUUGAAUGUUGUUUCACUAUAAUGAGUUCUCUCUUAGUGGUUGCUCUCGCCAGUAGUUGAUUGUCUAUUUGGUUUAGUUGGUGAUACGAAGGUAGAGGCCUUCACUCAAAGUUGCUAGUUUUGGAUUGGUUGUAAUUGUUACCACUUUUGGCUUGAGUUUAGAAGUUAGCUUCUUCUUCGACUAUUUUUCUAUGGUCCAUGUUUGACUUGCAGAAGUUUUUGCAUGACUUCAUAAAGUUCUUAUAUUGUUGCUUGUUGGUUCUCGAGCAAAGUGUGAUGUGCAUUUGUCCCAUAUGAAACCUUUUGAUUGUUGCUAUGAUGGCCACGUCAUCUUGUACAUCGGGUACUUGCGCUUUGAUUUGAAUGAACCUUCAAAAGUAUUGAGUUAAACAUCCUUUGAGUUGUUAUUGCGGUUGAAGUGAUCUAGAAUUGUCAGUCCUAUUGUCACACACGAAUUUAAGGAAAAAUCCAGAUGUAUCUCAUAUGUGUGUCAAAAUUAGAUUUCACACAUAUAAUGACUCAGUUUAUAGAAUCCAAUGGCACAAAUUUAUUACAUAAUGAAUUGUCUUUACAAAGAUAACUAAGAUUAAAACUUGCACUGAUCUAAACAAAUUAAAUUAAACAAUAUUUAAUACAUGAUGAAAGGGAGAUAGUUAUACGUUUGUUCCUUGCCGACGAUCGGGUAGAGAAGACAACUUGACGCCUAACACCAUCUCAUUGUUACCGACGACAUGAAACGUCCACGUGACAAGGCGACAGAUGAGCCAUGGCAAUGAGAUUGAAGACGGCAAUGAAGUGAUCGAGCAUCCAUGUAGAGUGCUUCCCAAAAACUUUAUUUACCCUCUCCUGAUACAAGAUCUCUGGGGGCAAUAGUUUUGGAGACCUGCUCUCUUGUUUGUCGGUGCACGCGAAUGAUUAGGAAGAAGUAUCAUACGCACGACGCUGUAGGCAGGAAGCAGGGACGAAACUAGAUGCUUUGGUUGUGUUCUACUCUCGAUGGCAGCAACAAUACCUAUUUAAAGGAGGAAAUCGUGUUCGAG